rnacentral:lncRNA from 1 species
UUCACACUGUCUUGAUCAAGGGUGUGUGAAGCUUUUUACGAGUUGUAGUGUUUGCAUUGUUACAGAGGGGAAAUGUUUGAAGCAGAUGCAAGAGGGCUGAAUAGCUUGAUCUUUGUAUGCCAUGCACUGAAGUUGUUGUUGGCUUGCAAUAAGACAUUGUUGGUGACUAUAACUCUUGUUGGGCAAAAGUGCUCCCCUAGUUGAGUUGUCAAGCUUGAGGGUUUUUGAUUAUUUGUGAAUGCUAGGAGUUCACCUGUACAAGUUGUACCCCUCGCCUUCUGGUUAGUGGAAUGAAUGGUGAGUUGCUUUCAUCACUUGGGUGGUGGUACAAAGGUGAGUUCCUUCAUAACCUUUCAUCACAUUUCAUCACCUGGUUGGUGGCACGAGGAUGAGUUCUUUCUUUCCCUGGUUGGUGGCAUGAAUGGCAAGUUGCCAAAUGAUAUUAAAGUAUGGGUUGUACAUUUUGUUGGAAAUGUACCCUAAAACCAAUCAUAUGAUGAUACUCUACGGACAUUUCACAUGUUAAACUAAUCUAGUUUAAUAUCAAGGGCAAAUAUUAUUGUUUGAGCCGUCUCAUAUAAAUGUUAUAUGCUUAAACGAUAAGUCCAAGGAAUAUGUGAUUGGGAGAAUCCAAUCUAAAGAAGUUAGAUUCAUGAGACCAUUCUUUCGUAGACACAUCCUAAAUGUUCCUGAUCAUAGGAUUGCCAAUUGGGCAUUGACAGUCCGUUAAGAUCAGUACGUGUUGUGUCUUCUCUCAAGGAGAGUUACUAGUCUCGAGUCAUUGGUGUGUGUGACAUCAAGACAAGUACGUAGGUGCUCAAUAGAGAAUGAGU